GGGCUACAGUUGCUUGAUUGACUAGCUGACUUCGACUAGCUACGUUCAGGCAAUGUCCUUUGCAAAUGCCUUAUUACUGACAAAAGUACGCAUAACAAAAUAUCUGCAAACGAGUAAAGGGAGACGUAAAGUAAAAAAAUUUACGUGUAAAUGUUAAUUCAUAGUAGUAACAGAUCUAAUUUAACGUUUACGUUUAAUGUUUCAUGCAUGGGUUUUCUUACAAUCCUAAUGAUACGUACGUUCAACCUUUUGGCAGCUAUCUCGCUCCAUAUCGUUGGGACAUCCCUAACCCCUAUCUAACCUUAACCAUUUUAACUUCAGUGGGGGUUCGGGAUGUUCCAAGGAUUCCGGAUAGCACGGACAUUUUGAUUACACAAGAGGUUGUUUCACCAGCCCAAAUUAAUUUAACUUUUUGGGAUUAUGAUCUAUUUGAUUUAUUGUACAUGGGUUAGUAGCUCUGGACUCUCUCACUAAAUAUAUUCAAAAUGUGGCAAUUUGCCAGGCUGAUGAGGAUGAGCAAGCCAGGCUGGUGGGCUUGAGGCUGGUGGGCUUGUGGGCAAGCCAGGCUGGUGGGCAAGCCAGGCUGUCAUUGUAAUACGAAUUUGUUCUUAAACUGACUGGUCUAAUUAAAUUUAAAACAAAUACCUUGGAGCCCCCUGACAACUGCGAGUCGAGGACAUUUCUGUUUGCGACAUCAUAUCGAAGUCUGCAACCAAGAAUAGCACUUGCCAAACACGCCAGCGUGUUUUCUCUCUUUUCUGAAGUCAUGGCGGGACCUUUAAACGCUAGAAGAGGACCAUGGAAAAAUAUAUUUCCUCAGGGAGAGACCUAUGCCCUCCCAAGGGAUGCAACACAUUUUGCCUGAUGUGGACCAUAAGUGAGCAUUGUUCAGGUGGUCGGGGAAUGGGAUUCCAGAGAUGGACUUUGCCAGGGUUGACAAAAUGUGGUGGGUCCACCCUCCACCACCAUCUGCAGCUCAGUAGAGAUGGAGAGGGGAGCUGAUAGGUUUGGAGUACCUCCUCGAUCAGACUGGUUUGGUGCUGCAGGAUCUCAAGGCUGCCAUUGAGGAACUAGAGACAGGUGAUCCUGAUGUCCAAGGGGAGGAUGAUGAGGGCUUUGUGGAGCUUGUGGAAUUUCAGGGCCUGACAGUUCCAGUGGUGGAGACAGCCCUGCCUCUUGUUGGCACCUUUCGUCCUACUCCCACUCCCUCUACCAGCAUCCAGUCCACAGCUGCAUCAGUCAGUCCCCUGUCCUCCACUCCUGUACGGGCUACUCCACCACCUGGGCCUCUGUCCUCCACACUUGUGCUCGUCAGUCCCCUGUUCCUGUUUGGGCUAACAUUACUUCUUAGUCCAUGGACCAUAAAUGUUCUUUUUAAAGUGUGAUUUGGCUCUGGCAGUCAAAACAGCCAAAUACCCCAUCUAACGGAUUGAGAUAGUGAAAUGUUUUGUUGUUUCGGCUCUGUACUCCAGCACUUUGGAUUUGCAAUGAUACAAAGUCAGCUUUAA